CAGUACCGUGAGGGAAAGGCGAAAAGAACCCCGGCGAGGGGAGUGAAAAAGAACCUGAAACCGUGUACGUACAAGCAGUGGGAGCACGCUUAGGCGUGUGACUGCGUACCUUUUGUAUAAUGGGUCAGCGACUUAUAUUCUGUAGCAAGGUUAACCGAAUAGGGGAGCCGAAGGGAAACCGAGUCUUAACUGGGCGUUAAGUUGCAGGGUAUAGACCCGAAACCCGGUGAUCUAGCCAUGGGCAGGUUGAAGGUUGGGUAACACUAACUGGAGGACCGAACCGACUAAUGUUGAAAAAUUAGCGGAUGACUUGUGGCUGGGGGUGAAAGGCCAAUCAAACCGGGAGAUAGCUGGUUCUCCCCGAAAGCUAUUUAGGUAGCGCCUCGUGAAUUCAUCUCCGGGGGUAGAGCACUGUUUCGGCAAGGGGGUCAUCCCGACUUACCAACCCGAUGCAAACUGCGAAUACCGGAGAAUGUUAUCACGGGAGACACACGGCGGGUGCUAACGUCCGUCGUGAAGAGGGAAACAACCCAGACCGCCAGCUAAGGUCCCAAAGUCAUGGUUAAGUGGGAAACGAUGUGGGAAGGCCCAGACAGCCAGGAUGUUGGCUUAGAAGCAGCCAUCAUUUAAAGAAAGCGUAAUAGCUCACUGGUCGAGUCGGCCUGCGCGGAAGAUGUAACGGGGCUAAACCAUGCAC
rnacentral:rRNA from 1 species